CAGGUGGGCCAGUGCCAGGACAGUGACAGUGGCUGUCCCUUGAGCCCCUGUCAGUCUCUGGAAGAUCUGAUUACAUUGGGGACCCUUAAGAGCACUUGAAGCGAACCACCCGCCAUGGGUCUAUUUUAAUCCUGCUCCUUCUAGAGAGGAGGAAGUGUAAGGAGGCGCUUCCUGCUGACAGGUGGCCCCAUAAAAGUCGUCCAUCUGCUGCUAAUUAUGGUAGGAAGAAAAUUCACACGGCCGAGGUUUCUGUGUAUUUGCUAAAGAUCUCCAGAGGUGUAACUGUCUUCCUGGAUCACAAGGCCAUUCACAGCAUUACAUCUAUAGAGCCUGUUUUUUUUUUUUUUUUAAUAAUUUAAAACUCAGGGAAGGAGGGAGUGUUU
rnacentral:lncRNA from 1 species